rnacentral:lncRNA from 1 species
UGGACUUAGAAUUAAGUGAUUUUUUUUUUAAAUCAAUGGAAAUGAAUGUCUUUUGAAUAUAAUCGUUUUUGGCUGAACCUUUGAUAAUUGUCAUGUGAUUGGGGCAAUUUUGGUCCCCCCUCCCCCCCCCCCCCCCAAAAUAAAAAUAAUCCCGGAUUUACGCAUGAUCUACUCUUGUCAUUGCUGGCAGAAAAUCAGUUAGUGCAUACACGCC